GCACUACGCAACCACAAUCAGCGUAAUGGCAUCGUGCCUCCACCAGUGCAGAAUAACAACUUUGAGAUCAAGAGCGGUCUCAUUGCCAUGGUUCAGAGCAACAAGUUUCACGGCCUCCCUAUGGAGGAUCCACUCGAUCACCUGGAU
rnacentral:sRNA from 1 species